rnacentral:lncRNA from 1 species
AUGGUUCCACAGCCAAAAGACACCAAAGCCCAUGAGGUGUCUCCAGUAAUGUCCAGUGGCCUUCUUUUACAUGUGCCAUUCUCUCCAGGCAAGCCAAUUUUUUGUUUGGAGAAGUCUAGGUCUUGGCAACCUGAUGAGUUCUGAAAGAUCUAAGGAUCCUGGGAGGUGUUUAAGGUAGUGGCUGUGGCAUCCCCAGGGCAAAAGAUGUUGAUUGCAAGGGAAGAAUCUGUUUCUGAGAGAUUGACCACCAAUAAGAAGAUUGACUCAAGCUUGAAUUGUGUUAUAAACAGACUAUUGCUAGAAGUGAUCACAUAGUACUAAGUCUAGGAAAAAUGUAAGAUUUCGGUUUAGUAGCUUUUCAAAAUGUUUUAUGUGCUAAAGGAGCUUGAAUAUUAUCUUUCUGAAUGAUUAAGUUACUGAACCUCAUUAAUCACAAAUUUUCUCUUUCUGAUCUCUGCCUUCUUACUUUCCUGGCAUCCAUUUCAUAUAAAUGUCUACCUUCUGCAAGAAGUAGUCCUGAUCUUCCUAUAUCCUAAUGCCGUUGCUCUGAGAUUAUUGUCAAUUUAUCCUGUAUACAUUGCUUAAACAUAAUUGUGUUUUUCCUUCAUUACAAAGUAGGUCUUUAAUAAAUGUUUCUUUUCUUUCUUCUAUUAUGAAUCU